AUACGGAAGGUCCGGGCGUUAUCCGGAUUUAUUGGGUUUAAAGGGAGCGCAGGCAGAGAUGCAAGCGUGACGUCAAAUUUCGGGGCUCAACCCCGUCUCGCGUCGCGAACUGCGUCCCUUGGUUGCGGGAAGGGGAGGCGGAACUCGUGGUGUAGCGGUGAAAUGCAUAGAUAUCACGAAGAACUCCGAUCGCGAAGGCAGCCUUCCGGCCCGUCAACGACGCUCAUGCUCGAAGGUGCGGGUAUCAAACAGGAUUAGAUACCCUGGUAGUCCGCACAGUAAACGAUGGACACCCGCGGUUUGGCCUGUAUGGCUGAGCCGCCAAGCGAAAGCGUUAAGUGUCCCACCUGGGGAGUACGCCGGCAACGGUGAAACUCAAAGGAAUUGACGGGG
rnacentral:rRNA from 1 species